rnacentral:rRNA from 1 species
CCCUUAGAUGUCCUGGGCCGCACGCGCGCUACACUGAUGCAUUCAACGAGUAUUUCCUUGGCCGAGAGGCCUGGGCAAUCUUUUAAACCUGCAUCGUGAUAGGGAUAGAUUAUUGCAAUUAUUAAUCUUGAACGAGGAAUUCCUAGUAAACGCAAAUCAUCAAUUUGCAUUGAUUACGUCCCUGCCCUUUGUACACACCGCCCGUCGCACCUACCGAUUGAAUGGUCCGGUGAAAUCUCGGGAUUGUGGCCAGUUCACUUUAUUGGGAGUUGGCUGCGAGAACUUGCUUAAACCUUAUCACUUAGAGGAAGGAGAAGUCGUAACA